rnacentral:rRNA from 1 species
AGAGUUUGAUCAUGGCUCAGGAUGAACGCUGGCGGCGUGCCUAACACAUGCAAGUCGAGCGAUUUACUUCGGUAAAGAGCGGCGGACGGGUGAGUAACGCGUGGGUAACCUGCCUCAUACACAUGGAUAACAUACCGAAAGGUAUGCUAAUACAAGAUAAUAUAAGAGAUUCGCAUGGGUUUCUUAUCAAAGCUUUUGCGGUAUGAGAUGGACCCGCGUCUGAUUAGCUAGUUGGUAAGGUAACGGCUUACCAAGGCGACGAUCAGUAGCCGACCUGAGAGGGUGAUCGGCCACAUUGGAACUGAGACACGGUCCAAACUCCUACGGGAGGCAGCAGUGGGGAAUAUUGCACAAUGGGCGAAAGCCUGAUGCAGCAACGCCGCGUGAGCGAUGAAGGCCUUCGGGUCGUAAAGCUCUGUCCUCAAGGAAGAUAAUGACGGUACUUGAGGAGGAAGCCCCGGCUAACUACGUGCCAGCAGCCGCGGUAAUACGUAGGGGGCUAGCGUUAUCCGGAUUUACUGGGCGUAAAGGGUGCGUAGGUGGUUUCUUAAGUCAGGAGUGAAAGGCUACGGCUCAACCGUAGUAGGCUCUUGAAACUGGGAAACUUGAGUGCAGGAGAGGAAAGUGGAAUUCCUAGUGUAGCGGUGAAAUGCGUAGAUAUUAGGAGGAACACCAGUAGCGAAGGCGGCUUUCUGGACUGUAACUGACACUGAGGCACGAAAGCGUGGGGAGCAAACAGGAUUAGAUACCCUGGUAGUCCACGCCGUAAACGAUGAGUACUAGGUGUCGGGGGUUACCCCCCUCGGUGCCGCAGCUAACGCAUUAAGUACUCCGCCUGGGGAGUACGCUCGCAAGAGUGAAACUCAAAGGAAUUGACGG